GCUAAUGUUUAUGGCUCCAAAGCUGAAUUUCUCCACCCAUGAUGAUUUUGUAGAUGAUGGGAGGAGAUUGCUUAGUGAAAAGAAGUGAAAAAUAAUAUAUUGGCAUCCUCUCUUAUCCAGUAGAUUUUGGCACUCCCAACAUUAGGUUACCUGGAAGUGGGAAAACAAAAACUAAGCAGCAAAGAAAAUCAGCAUUGUGAGUUUUACUCUGCAGCAAAAAUAACGAUCUGUUCUUGAGGAAUUAAGUGCUUCACAAAGAUUCUGUUCAGUGAACACUAAGGACACUCACAGAACCAUCUGAGGUAUACUGAGUGGGUGUGGGGAUUGGAGAUGAAGGGAAAUUGAUAAAGAUUCGCAGUGGGCAAAGCUUCAGCCUCCAACUCAGGCAGCUUUGUUUUAUAGACUUAAGGGGUCCUGGGGGGAAAAAUUUUGAAUAUCACCUCAAGUUUUCUACAGGCCAAACCCAGAGGCUAAUGCAUAGCAGUUGCUUAAUAAA